rnacentral:lncRNA from 1 species
UUGGGGCACUAGGCUAUACUGUGGUGGUGCCGAAUGAUGCAAUUGGGACUCUAAACCAUACUGUGGUGGUGCCAGAUUAUACUGUGGAGGAGCAAGGUUGUGCCACGGUAGCUCAAGAUCCUGCUGCUGCAAGGGUGGCUCAACUUGUGGUAGUGGGGGAGUGUCAGAUAGCUCCCUCCUUUCCUCCCGAGCCUGCUAGGCAGCGAUAAGUCUCUCCAGCAUUUC